GACGAACGCUGGCGGCGUGCUUAACACAUGCAAGUCGAACGGAAAGGCCCUGCUUUUGUGGGGUGCUCGAGUGGCGAACGGGUGAGUAACACGUGAGUAACCUGCCCUUGACUUUGGGAUAACUUCAGGAAACUGGGGCUAAUACCGGAUAGGAGCUCCUGCUGCAUGGUGGGGGUUGGAAAGUUUCGGCGGUUGGGGAUGGACUCGCGGCUUAUCAGCUUGUUGGUGGGGUAGUGGCUUACCAAGGCUUUGACGGGUAGCCGGCCUGAGAGGGUGACCGGCCACAUUGGGACUGAGAUACGGACCAGACUCCUACGGGAGGCAGCAGUGGGGAAUAUGGCACAAUGGGCGGAAGCCUGAUGCAGCAACGCCGCGUGCGGGAUGACGGCCUUCGGGUUGUAAACCGCUGUCGCCUGUGACGAAGCGUGAGUGACGGUAAUGGGUAAAGAAGCACCGGCUAACUACGUG
rnacentral:rRNA from 1 species